rnacentral:rRNA from 4 species
AGAAAAUUUUCAACGGUGGAUAUCUAGGUUCCCGUGACGAUGAAGAACGCAGCGAAAUGCGAUACGCAAUGCGAAUUGCAGAACCGCGAGUCAUCAGAUCUUUGAACGCAAGUGGUGGAGGUGUAAAAACCUUCAUGUUUGUAUCAGUGUGGAA